rnacentral:misc_RNA from 1 species
GCAGAAAUUAAAUUAACAUUAAACAUCGGUUUUUAACUCGACAUACACUGAUUGAUAUAGCAAAUACAAAUGGGCACAAGUCCCUUAUUUCAGGACAGUUCAUAUAACAAAUACACAUAGCAAACACUCAGGCAGCAAGUCUCUUAUUUCAGGACAGUUCAUAUAGCAAACACUCGGGCACAAAACCCCUUAUUUCCUGGCACUCCACGUACGUAAUAGGCAUUCCCACGAGGGGUUAUGCUUUGAGAAAAACAAACCGGAACGGGUUGUCGCUCAGAACCAA